AAUGAACGCUGGCGGCAUGCCUUACACAUGCAAGUCGAACGGCAGCAUGACCUAGCUUGCUAGGUUGAUGGCGAGUGGCGCACGGGUGAGUAAUGCAUCGGAACGUGCCUUUUAGUGGGGGAUAACGUAGCGAAAGUUACGCUAUUACCGCAUAUUCUCUGAGGAGGAAAGCAGGGGACCUUCGGGCCUUGCGCUAGAAGAGCGGCCGAUGUCGGAUUAGCUAGUUGGUGAGGUAAAGGCUCACCAAGGCAACGAUCCGUAGCGGGUCUGAGAGGAUGAUCCGCCACACUGGGACUGAGACACGGCCCAGACUCCUACGGGAGGCAGCAGUGGGGAAUUUUGGACAAAGGGCGCAAGCCUGAUCCAGCCAUGCCGCGUGAGUGAAGAAGGCCUUCGGGUUGUAAAGCUCUUUCGGCUGGGAAGAAAACGCACCCUCUAAUACAGGGUGUGGAUGACGGUACCAGCAUAAGAAGCACCGGCUAACUACGUG
rnacentral:rRNA from 1 species